UUGGAGGGCAAGUCUGGUGCCAGCAGCCGCGGUAAUUCCAGCUCCAAUAGCGUAUAUUAAAGUUGUUGCAGUUAAAAAGCUCGUAGUUGAAUUUCGGGGUUAGUAGGUUGGUCAUGCCUCUGGUAUGUACUGAUCUCACUGAUUCCUCCCUCUUGACGAACUGUAAUGUCAUUAAUUUGGUGUUGCAGGAAAUCAGGACUGUUACUUUGAAAAAAUUAGAGUGUUUAAAGCAGGCUAAGGCGUGAAUACAUUAGCAUGGAAUAAUGAAAUAGGACGUUUGAACCUACUUUGUUGGUUUCUAGGAUCGACGUAAUGAUUAAUAGGGAUAGUUGGGGGCAUUAGUAUUCAAUUGUCAGAGGUGAAAUUCUUGGAUUUAUUGAAGACUAACUACUGCGAAAGCAUUUGCCAAGGAUGUUUUCAUUAAUCGAGAACGAAAGUUAGGGGAUCGAAGACGAUCAGAUACCGUCGUAGUCUUAACCAUAAACUAUGCCGACUAGGGAUCGGAUGAUGUUAAUUUUUAAUGACUCAUUCGCGCCUUACGGAAAC
rnacentral:rRNA from 1 species